AAUGAACGCUGGCGGCAGGCCUAAAACAUGCAAGUCGAACGCUGUAGCAAUACAGAGUGGCGCACGGGUGAGUAACAUGUGGGAAUAUGCCUAUUGGUACGGAACAACGUUUGGAAACGAACGCUAAUACCGUAUGGUCCCUUCGGGGUAAAGAUUUAUCGCCAAAUAGAUUAGCCCGCACUAGAUUAGCUAGUUGGUGAGGUAAGAGCUCACCAAGGCGACGAUCUAUAGCUGGUCUGAGAGGACGAUCAGCCACACUGGGACUGAGACACGGCCCAGACUCCUACGGGAGGCAGCAGUUAGGAAUAUUGGACAAUGGCGCAAGCCUGAUCCAGCCAUGCCGCGUGAGUGAUG
rnacentral:rRNA from 1 species